rnacentral:rRNA from 1 species
GACAGAGGGUGCAAACGUUGCUCGGAAUUACUGGGCGUAAAGCGCGUGUAGGCGGGCGGGCAAGUCAGAUGUGAAAUCCCCGGGCUCAACCUGGGAAUGGCAUUUGGGACUGCAAGGCUUGAGUUUGGCAGAGGAGACUGGAAUUCCUGGUGUAGCAGUGAAAUGCGUAGAUAUCAGGAGGAAUACCGAUGGCGAAGGCAGGUCUCUGGGCUAUAACUGACGCUCAUGCACGAAAGCGUGGGGAGCAAACAGG